rnacentral:rRNA from 1 species
GAUGAACGCUGGCGGCGUGCCUAAUACAUGCAAGUCGAGCGAACAGACGAGGAGCUUGCUCCUCUGACGUUAGCGGCGGACGGGUGAGUAACACGUGGAUAACCUACCUAUAAGACUGGGAUAACUUCGGGAAACCGGAGCUAAUACCGGAAAAUAUAUUGAACCGCAUGGUUCAAUAGUUAAAGACGGUUUUGCUGUCACUUAUAGAUGGCUCCGCGCCGCAUUAGCUAGUUGGUAAGGUAACGGCUUACCAACGCAACGAUGCGUAGCCGACCUGAGAGGGUGGACGGCCACACUGGAACUGAGACACGGUCCAGACUCCUACGGGAGGCAGCAGUAGGGAAUCUUCCGCAAUGAGCGAAAGCCUAACGGAGCAACGCCGCGUGAGUGAUGAAGGUCUUCGGAUCGUAAAACUCUGUUAUUAGGGAAGAACAAAUGUGUAAGUAACUAUGCACGUCUUGACGGUACCUAAUCAGAAAGCCACGGCUAACUACGUG